rnacentral:rRNA from 1 species
AGGACGAACGCUGGCGGCGUGCUUAACACAUGCAAGUCGAGCGGAAAGGCCCUUCGGGUACUCGAGCGGCGAACGGGUGAGUAACACGUGAGCAACCUGCCCUUAGCUUCGGGAUAGCUCCGGGAAACCGGAAUUAAUACCGAAUAUGACUUUGGCUGACAUCAGCAGAAGUGGAAAGUUUUUCGGCUAGGGAUGGACUCGCGGCCUAUCAGCUAGUUGGUGAGGUAACGGCCCACCAAGGCGACGACGGGUA